CGGGUCGGCUGGGCGAUCGCGUGGCAGCGGGCAACCGCUGCUCCGAGGAAAGUCCGGGCUCCACAGAGCGGGGUGGUGGGUAACGCCCACCCGAGGCAACUCGCGGGAAAGUGCCACAGAAAGCAGACCGCCUCACUCUCCGCGAGGAGGGAGAGGUAAGGGUGAAACGGUGGGGUAAGAGCCCACCAGCGCCCCGGGUGACCGGAGCGGCUCGGCAAACCCCACCCGGAGCAAGACCAGACAGUGCACGCCCGAGGGCUGCUCGCCCGAGUGCACGGGUAGGUCGCUGGAGACGGCCGGCAACGGUCGCCGUAGAUGGAUGGUCGCCCUCGACAGAACCCGGCUUACAGGCCGGCCCGUCCC
rnacentral:RNase_P_RNA from 1 species